UACGGAGGAUCCAAGCGUUAUCCGGAAUCAUUGGGUGUAAAGGGUCCGUAGGCGGUUUUGUAAGUCAGUGGUGAAAGCCCAUCGCUCAACGGUGGAACGGCCAUUGAUACUGCAAGACUUGAAUUAUUGGGAAGUAACUAGAAUAUGUAGUGUAGCGGUGAAAUGCUUAGAGAUUACAUGGAAUACCAAUUGCGAAGGCAGGUUACUACCAAUAUAUUGACGCUGAUGGACGAAAGCGUGGGGAGCGAACAGG
rnacentral:rRNA from 1 species